GAAAUGCGAUAAGUAGUGUGAAUUGCAGAAUUCAGUGAAUCAUCGAAUCUUUGAACGCACAUUGCGCCCUUUGGUAUUCCUUAGGGCAUGCCUGUUCGAGCGUCAUUUAAACCUUCAAGCCCUGCUUGGUGUUGGGUGCCUGUCCCGCCCCCGCGCGUGGACUCACCUCAAAUCCAUUGGCGGCCCCCGCAUGGCCACGAGCGCAGCAGAAACGCAAACUCGUGUGCCGGACCGGGCAGCUCCCAGAAGCUACACUCACCAUUUUGACCUCGGAUCAGGUAGGGAUACCCGCUGAACUUAAGC
rnacentral:misc_RNA from 1 species